rnacentral:tRNA from 1 species
AUUUAUUUAAUAUAAAUAGUAUAUUUAACUUCCAAUUAAAAUGUCUGUAAAACAGAAUAAAUA